rnacentral:lncRNA from 1 species
CGGAUAAUGUACAUCUAAUUAUGCUUUAUACAUGCAUUUUUUUCAGAAUCAAAUUCAUACAAAUCAUUAACAGGACCACAUUGUUGAGUGUAUGUUUUAAUUCCUCAACUUCAUCAAUGAGUAGACUCGUUUUCAUGCACCCCUCACUUUACUUAAGAAGCAGUCCCGUUUGCGCCAGAGAAUAGCAAUUAUCAGACUUUACAAAUGAUAAAAAUGUUUUAAUAUUUUGGUACAUUUUACAUCGAGAUCUAUAUACAAAACAGAUUCGUUUCUUGCAUUGACAAUUUUCGUUUUUACCUUCAAGUUACUCAGUACAAUGGAACAGACUGUUGAAUUCCUUCGAUGAAUACGAUUUGCUUUAAUUUUGUUUUGUCUACAAAAAGAUAUCUAUAAAACUGAAAUAUGAAAUAAGAGAGAAUGAUAGAUAGAUAUAUCGAUAUUUUUUUCUUUUCAUAUUACAUGUAUUUAAA